GGGAAGGUGGCUCAGUGGUAAAGCGCUUGCCUUGCGUGCAUGAGGCCCUGAAUUCAAUUCCUCAGCCCCA
rfam:Dipodomys ordii ctg_broad_rename0001954, whole genome shotgun sequence.